GGCAACUUGCCAGAGUGGUCUAAUGGGUGAGACUUGAACCAAUCGGCGCAAUCUCAUGGGCUCCGCCCGCACAGGUUCGAACCCUGUAGUUGUCG
rnacentral:tRNA from 1 species